UCUGCAUGGCUUGGGGUGUACCUUGGGCGACACUUUCUCAGUUGGAAUGUUUUUCCCAACAAAUAAAUUGCUGGUAAGAUGGUGUACAGCCAAAACAACAAUUCCCAACAAAUAAAUUGCUGGUAAGAUGGUGUACAGCCAAAACAACAAUUGGAUACUGCUCAUGUUCAAAUAUUACACAAUGCUCCAAUGUUCGCAAACAUUGAUAAUAUGUUCACAAACAUACAUAUAUAUUGAUCACAAGUUAAAAAACAAGACAACAUUGACAAAGCAAAGUUUGGCCAUCUUGACCACCAUCAAGAAACACAAGUCACAUAAAAGGACCACUAUGUGUUAUUCUAAAAGAAUUGAAACACGAAAUGGUCCAAAAAACUUAAAAGUCAAAUCCAUGGCCACAAGAUUUCUACUCCACAACACUUGAAGCGCCAAAUGGUCCAGAACGCACAUAAGAUUCAUGAUUACAAGUUGGCUAGUCCGAAAUACUACAAACGACCAAAUGCUACAUAAGACUACGAAGUCAUCACAUCCAUGCGCACUAGGUGGCUGAGUACCUAAAAAUAUUCCACAAGAUCUUAAUGAUAAGCGAAUAAUGAAACUAUGCUCACUUAGUAUCUGACAAAAGUGCAAAUAUCAUUUCGUACUAACACCUAAUUAAGACAUAGACAUGUAUCAAAUGUUUUACGCCAAAGUGGAUUCAUAAGAAAUAUUACCAAUAUCAAGGAAAAUUGUCAUAGGUAUCCUGAGGCUUUGGGUCAAAUUCUCAUACGUUCAAACUGAAUGUGACUGCCAACAUGUGAUGUGCUACUCACGUGUAGAUAUGAGAAAAUGCAUGGGUGUACCCCCAACAAUUUUGCACAUUUCAUAGUUUGAAAAUAAUUAUCAAAAAUAAUUGUGGUUGUAUGUUAUCUGAUGAAGUAGAACCAAAAUGUACAGCUUCAGACAAAAAAACUACAGUAUGGUGAUGUUCUGUAUAUGCCAUGUGAUCUUCAGUUUUGUAUACAUAUUGAUCUAUGCUAAUUCCUAAGGAAUGUAUGUGGGCAUCAAAUAACAUCAUGUGAUUUUUAUAUUUUCAAUUUUAAAACUGCAGUGUGCAUAUUUCCGAGACAAAAACAAAAAACUUAUUGUAUGCAAUAUGUUGUAGUACCUGCAUGUCCUUGCACAUCAGUUGCCUUCUUUUCAUCCUUGAUUUACAAAAAUAAUCGUUACUUUUUAAUAGGUCUUCUAAUAGACAAUUGAUGAAAUCCUUGUAUUCUACAUUCAAAUGAAACAUUAUAGAGGUUAAGUAUAAUAGAACUAUAAUGAAAUCAUAGCACACAAUCUUUAUUGCAAAAAAGGAAGUCCAAAAAAUGUCUACACAUGAAGCUCCAGCCAAACAUGGCUCACAAAUGAUGUUCAAGUAAUAUUAGGCCAUCACCAGAAUGAACAUGAACAUCUCAUAAAACCACCAUGUACCACCAUUAUUAAGAUUGAAGUACUGUCUUAUUCUUGAACCAGAUUGCCAUUAUUAAGAUUGAAGUCCUCGUCCUCCUACAGCUUACAGCCCUAAGUGGGAUAAUAGGCUAUAAUUAGUUAUAAAUCAGCUCAAACUUGCAACAAACUAGCCAUCUUUUCCAUUCUAAACAGGCAUCUUAGCGUGAAUACCUUUCUACAGUGAGUUACAUAUCUACUCAAACCUGCUACGAACUAGGUUGGAAUUUAAUGGGCUACAUGCCAGCUACAAAAAAUAAGUGGCACUCCAUAAUUAUUAUAAAUAACUCCAUAGACAUUAUCCAUCGCAAUAUUAGGUUAUUGGCGCAAACUAAAUGGCAGCUAGAAAAACGGAGGCAAAAAAUGCCUGCCCUGGAAGCACAAAAUAUGCUUCAGGACAAACACAAACUGCGAUAUCCACUUCUUGCUAGUCAGGAAGACAGCUCCAACACAGCGCCUUAGUCUACAUCAUUGAAAAUAUGGAUGCUCCAUGACCUUUCAUUGCAGAGAUCCUCUUUGUUGGCUCGUCCUUACUGCCGCAUUUUCUGCAAGGAUCAGAACCGUAAGUUAGUACAAGAUUCUUACAAGAACCCCUCUUCUUCUCUGUUUUUCUGCAAGGAUCGAGUAGCACGGAUACACAUGUCAAGACUAAUACAGUAGACAGUUUUGAGAAGUUCCAGUGAGGGUACUCUCAAAAAAAAGUAGGAUACUCGUGCAAGUUUGGGAGCUUGCCUACCCCUGGCCAUACAUCAUCAUCCCGACUGCCCGACAAUCUAGCAUUCAAAAACUAAGAUAGCCCAUCUACUUUCAAUACCUCCUACUAACGCCAAUUCAAUAACGAACAUAGUCCAUCUAUAUUCGAUACCUCCUACUAACGCCAAUCGAUAAGAUAAUUAGCAUGUGGCAACGUGUGUGGCUUUAAGGAACUCAGGGUCCCCGUACUAGAGUAAGGAUCCACGAAUGAGUUUAGAUGUGUCACGAAUAGAUCAAGGAAGGGGAAUAGUGCAGAAUCAGCCAUGAUCAGGUGCAAUAAUGCUAAUAGAAGCAGUUGGAAAUUUCAGUUGCUCGGCAAAACCCACUGAAAAACUAAGCACCAUAAGCCCAGACCAAGCUUCAGAAAUUCAAAAUUACCUCAACAAUAUUGUACAGAUAUAGGCCUAGAUUCUCCAAAUUCAGGGCCCUGCAUGCUCUCUAAUGUUCUUGCUUUUAUUUAUCUGAAAAUACUUGUGUAUACAACAUAAAAGUGAAGUACACACCUCAGAAAAAAAUACAAGACUCCAGACCAGAAGAAAGAGUAAACAUCAACAUAAAACUAAAGAGUAUAGGCAUAGUUGAACCAAAUUGGAGAAUAUAUCGAUGUACUGUCAGCAAGGUAACACAUUACAGCUAAAAAUAUGUAUCUCUUUGGAGGAAAAAGUAAUUAAACUAUGAAUAUCAGCUGCACAGCCUCUAUCAUUCAUGGUGUAUGGCCAAUACCUCUACGCCACACUAUAGAAGCUUACUUCCUAUUAUCUUUUAUGUAUAGAUCUGUGUAGAUAUCACCAAUUGUAGUAGCAAUAGAUGCUCUAUCCAGCAGCAAUGUGUAGAAAACUUCUGAUAAAUAAUGGUCAAUCCAUCAUCAAAAUAUGACUGGAUUGAAAAUCAGAGGAUUAUAAGACAAAGGAAAAAGAACAAUCAAGGGGGGUUACACCAAAUGCAAACCAAGAAAGAACGUUCUGUGCUCAGUUUCAAGUUAUCACAUAUCCCCUCGACUACAAUUAGAUGGGUAUCACUGUACCAGCCAAAGUGAGAAAAUAAGACAACACAUUAGUUGGAGGAAAAAGUAAUUAAACUAUGAAUAUCAGCUGCUCUCUCUACAGGAAAAUGAUGGCCAUAUCAUCACUAUAGCUGGUGACACGCAUCUGAUUAACUCAUGAUGCCGGUGCAGACCUAGAAUUCAGAAACUUGGAAUCUUAGAAUUAAGGAGCUAAAGCACCAUGUCCAUCUAACCAUCGAUCUGAGCAACGAAUUAAAAAAUAGAACAAAGCAAGGUAUGAUCUUUUUACUGCUCAGUGGUAUACGGAUCCAACUAGUAAUCUUCGUAAUACUACGCCAUAUUAUCAAACAAAAAGGGGCAGAUUAAGUGAGCAGGAACCAGGUCUUGCUUCAGAUCAACAUGUCCAAACCACUCCCGCAGCUACCAACGGUACAACUCUCAAGUUGCAGCAAACUAGCAAGUCGAUCUACUGACACAUGGUGGUACUCACGGCUGAAAGAACAACAGCAAAGAAACCAAAUUGGGN
rnacentral:lncRNA from 1 species